AGAGAGUGUUCUUGGUAGUCAAAAUUCAAUUUCUAAAGAUAAACAUUUAUUUUGAUUCACUUUUAAAAUUUCAUUCUUCGUUUGAUGAAUUUGAACUUAUGGGCUAUAGAAAUUUUAUGUGAUAUGGGUUUUAAUGUACCAAAGUUUAAAUUGAAGAUGUAAAAGGGGGGUUUUUUCCAAGUUGCAUGUGGUGUUGAGGAUGAAUUUCUUUUCAAUAAUGAAAUGUUUUGGGACUUCAUAAAGACUCUUAAUUUCAACUUGGAAUUUGAAAUUGUUCUUUUAGGAUUGUUUUAGAACAAAAGUGCUUAAAUCUCACAUGAAUUUUGAUGGAUUGUGAUGCAUGUUAUAUUUCUAAGUUGUUUUGUGUUAAUAGGCAUGAUGAGUUUGUGGUUAUAUGGUUGGAUCAAGUUUUGGAGCUUUUUAGAUGAGUUUGAUUGUGUUUUGGUAUGUGGAUUUUCUAUAGAAUCAAACUA
rnacentral:misc_RNA from 1 species